AUGGAACGAAUGGAAGUGGACCAGUGCGCAGGCGCAACGACCGGGACCGGAGGCGGAGCUCUUCGUAGAUCGAACAGCGCCCCUAUGAUCACCAGCGUCAGUGAUGGCAUGGCAGUGUUUAGUCCAAUUAAUUCAGCCCGGUAUCGGCGGAGCAGUGUUUCUGUCAACCCCAGCUGUCCGUCUCGGGCCAUCCCCCUGUCACCUUUUUCGUUGGCCGGUGAGAGACAGGACCACAAAAAGCAGGAAGAGAAUCUGGAGAUGACACUCAGGGGGAGUCUGCAGAGACUGAGUGCCUCCAGUCUGGUCCCUCCUCCUGUCAGUCACUGGCAUGAUCAAUCAUCAGGGGGAUUCCAUUCACAGGACAGUGGGGUCACACCCAAUUCCUCCCCUAGUCCAACUCGAAGGUUUAGGGGGCCUGCAGUCAGCUCUACUGUGCGAUGGCCUGCCCUGACUCCACUGAAAAGGAAAGGAGGAGUGGAGUCUGAUGGCCCACCCAAGAAGCUGUUUGUUGCCGGGGUAACAGAUCCUGCUCAUCGGACAAGUUACACAGUCAGUGUGUCCCAGGCAUCUGCGGACUCUCCCACAGGUGGUGGGUCUGCGUGUGGUGUCAGUCCCCAGGGUAGUCCCCUGUCUCCCCCUUCUUUUACCUCUCACCACCACAACAUCUAA
rnacentral:lncRNA from 1 species